CAGCCAGGCUCCUCCUGGUAACUAAAAUCGGGCUACUUCCACCUCCCUUGUGUCACUCUUGCUCUCCCUUUUUUAUAUAAAUAAAAUGACCUAAUAUAGUGGAUAAUCUCAGGACUAUUUUGUAGGACUUCAUUCCUUAGUGGAAGCUUUAAGGACGCCCCUCAUUGAGACUCAUCCAGAGGAAUGUGCACCCUAAGGAAUAAUUUGUGAAGGUUCAAAUGGGUACGUUCAACUUCGGCUCUCCGAGAGCUGAAAAAUGCAGCAUACGGAGGAUAAAACCAUCUCUCACUUCGGCCAAUAUGGAUCAACGAUUUUGAUGACAUCACCCUGCAGUUCAGCUUCUCAUCAAACUUUCUGUCCAAUCAAAUGCUCUCUAGAAUCCAAAGUGUCCCGCCCCCGAAUUGAAUUCUAGACUGAAUUGUAUAUUUUAUAGCAAUAUAGAUGAGAUUGUGGCUGUCAUACCCUGUCAAAUGCAGCUCAAUGGCUCUAGUCCAGUGAUAUAAACGAACAGUAUUGCUGAUUUAAAAAGAAGCGUGACUACCUGAUAUGUCCCGCCCUGUCUUCCUGUUUCAGUUAAAAUGAUGUCUACACAUAGAAUAACAGUGCGUGUUUCAAAGCACUUCAGUGGACCUUUAAUGCCAAAUUACACCAAUAACAAUAACUAUGUAGCAUCCACACCAGUGCAUGAUAAAGUUCUGUUUAGACAACAAACUGAUUGAAUUCACGUUGUCUGGGCAAAAAAACCCCACAAUAUUAUAUUAAAUUGUGUUCUAUGGAAGAAAGAAACUCAUGCAGGUUUGUAAUGACAUGACAGUAAGACUAACAUGGCAUAAUUUUCAUUUCCAAGUGAACUAUCCCUUUAAAAGGAACACAUUAGUGUUUUGUGUCAAUGAAGGGGUGCUUGAGCCCUACUGGUGUGGCUGCGGGGGGUAUGUAAGACAAAAAACAUUGGGGAACACUGAUUUAAAGGGUAAGAGCAGUUCACAAACGAUGAGAUUUUGCUAUGUUUGGAUUCUUAGUGUGAUCACAAUCACCCACCAUACACACACUCAACCAGACAGUCACACAGUGGCAUCAGCUGGGUCCAACUAUAAUCACCUCUCAAAUCUGAAGGGAGAGUUUUACGAACACUGCCAUGAUCGAUAUUUGCCAAUCCGUCCUCCACUAUCAGCCCAAAUAAAAGGCACGGGCGUCAGACGGGGCUGGCGAAGCAGGUCGUAGGGAGGUCCUCUAUGCCUGUUUGAUGUUUGUGCAGCGCUCAUCAGUGUGUUGAGGCUGGUUCACCUCUGCUGUUGUGGAAUCAGCAGGUCAUCGCGGUCUCAACCCCGCGCGGUGCACCGCUGAUUGCCUAGCAGUUGCUGCGAGAUUGCUUUUCCAUGGUUAGGGGAUGUGCGUCCUGGCAGUAAGCUGGGCUCUGUUUUAAUAGGGCCUCAACUCCAAACUCAAAGGUCGCUGUACUCCUUGCUGCUCGCGCAGGAUUGUUUAUGGACUUAGUUCACUGCAGUUUUCUGCCCAUUAGCAGUGCAAUGUGUAGCAUGCCUGUUUCUGUAGUCUCAAGGAAGAUGUGUUUC